AGUGUUCAAAAUGGUGGUUCGCUGAGCUCUCUUGGAUCAUCUCAAAUGGUGAAUGAACAUUAUGGAAAAUUCAAUAUGGAUAGUUUGAGUUCAGGUUAUG
rnacentral:rRNA from 1 species